AACAAUGUCAUUUAUAUUUUGUAAAAAAAAUGGAUCGGGUCUAACUCUACCCAAAAGCUAACUCUAGGGGAGGAGGUUACCCCAAGUCUUAUAUAUAGUAUAAACACCUUAUCUUAAACCAAUAUGAGAUAACAUACCCCCCUUACGCCCAAGUAUAAACAUUUAGAGCGUGGAGUUUGCAGGUAAACACACUUGCGAGUGGCCCAAAAUUAAAGUAGGGUAGGCUUUAAUACCAUAUAAAGAAAAUGAAUCGGACCUAACUCUACCCCAAAAGCUAGUUCAAAGAGAGGAGGUGAUGCAAUAUAGGAAACUUAGAUUUUUAUUGAGGAAUUUUAAUUAUUAUAGAAU
rnacentral:misc_RNA from 1 species